GAUGAAGAACGUAGCGAAAUGCGAUAAGUAAUGUGAAUUGCAGAAUUCAGUGAAUCAUCGAAUCUUUGAACGCACAUUGCGCCCCUUGGUAUUCCGGGGGGCAUGCCUGUUCGAGCGUCAUUUCAACCCUCAAGCUUCUGCUUGGUCUUGGGCCGUGCCGGCAACGGCUGGCCUUAAAACUAGUGGCGGUGCCAUCGAGCUCUACGCGUAGUAAUUCUAUCUCGCGUCUGGGCUUCGGUGGACGCUGGCCAGCAACCCCCAAUUUUCUAUGGUUGGCCUCGGAUCAGGUAGGGAUACCCGCUGAACUUAAGCAUAUCAAUAAGCGGAGGA
rnacentral:misc_RNA from 1 species